GUUUGUUUUUUGUUUUUGUAGAUGUUAAAAGCCAGAGACAUGGGAGAGCAUCAUUCUUUUGAGAUUUUAUAACUCAAACCAACUUUGGAGUUGUCUUCUCUGAUUUGGAGAGUCAUCAUUCUUGGUCUUCCCCCUUAAAGGCCGCUGAUGAAAAGCAGGCGGUGACUGGAUGAAUGCUGGUCAAAGAAGAGCACGUCCUUUCCCCUAAACUGAUGCAGCAGUGGUUUUAAAGGAGGACGGUGCUCUGGAU